GGUACCUAUGAGCCUGGCAGAACCUCAGGGUUUACUGAAAGCCAUAUCUACAGAGGAGGCAGCAGACACCAUGGGAUCCCUUUCAGUCUCUACCAUCAGAGGACUUGUCCACUGGCAAGGCCUCCUGCUCAUUCUCUCACUCUUAAACUUCUGGUGCUUGCCCACCAUGGCCCAACAGGAUAUGUGGUUGAAAAAUGCUGCUGAAGGGGAGAAUCUGCACUUAAAUAUCCACAACAUGCCGCCUGAUGUAAAACGUGUUUGCAUGGUACAGAGGGACAGUCCCAGACAGAUAUCAUAUAUUUGCUUUUCUUGUACGAUAUGAAGACCACCAUGUAAGAUUUCCAAAAACUGGACGAGUGACAUUAAACUCCAAUGGAUCUUUGCUGUUAAAGAAGGUCACCAAGGGAGAUGCAGGAAUCUACACCAUAGCAGUGGAAAAACAGGAUUCCAAAACAUUAAUAGGAUAUGGGAAGCUCAGUGUAUAUCGGCGUGUGAGAAAGCCCACCCUGCGAGCCAGCAACACCACAGUCACAGAGGAUAAGGAUGCUGUGGUCUUGACCUGCAACUCAAAUGAGCUCACCAUCCAGUGGUUGUUCAAUGGCAAAGAACUGCAGCCCACAGAGCGAAUGAAGUUGUCCCAGGACCGCAGAAGCCUCACCAUAGACCCUGUCAAGAGGGAAGAUGCUGGGAAUUACCAGUGUGAAGCCUCCAACCCCAUCAGUUCUGUUGCAAGUGUGCCUCUUGAGCUGGAUGUGAAAUUGGAGUGACUCUCC